CCCUUAGAUGUUCUGGGCCGCACGCGCGCUACACUGAUGCAUUCAACGAGCGCCCGCUGGGCCGAGAGGUCCGGCUAAUCUUUGAACGUGCAUCGUGCUGGGGAUAGAUGAUUGCAAUUAUUCAUCUUCAACGAGGAAUUCCUAGUAAACGCAAGUCAUCAGCUUGCAUUGAUUACGUCCCUGCCCUUUGUACACACCGCCCGUCGCACCUACCGAUUGAAUGGUCCGGUGAAAUUCUCGGACGCGGACUUGCGAUGUUAAUUCGGAGCUUGACUGUGAAAGUUAAUUAAACCUUACCAUUUAGAGGAAGGUGAAGUCGUAACA
rnacentral:rRNA from 1 species